UUUUGGCUCUAAAGCCCAUCCUUAUCAAGCUAGUUCUCCUGCGACCUAGACCUAGGUUUCAGAACUGGGGCAAUGAUACCACGGGAAGGCAGGUGUGAUGUUGUCUUCUCCCAAGGACCUUCUCCAACCACACUACUCGAAGUGUGUCCAGAAUUGGUGGGCUCUUGGUCUCGCUGACUUCAAGAAUGAAGCCGUGGACCCUCGCGAUUAAACAAGUGCAACUUUCCCAAUCUCACACAACUACUUGUGGAGCCAGGAUUCCAUACAGGCAAUGCCUUCAUGGUAAUUGAGCUUCCACUGAGGAAGAAGAAGAGAGAAGAUUGAAGAGGUGGACCGGCUGCACAUUUCAUCAUGAAGAUUUAUCCGGAGAUCCAAGAGACUGACUCAGGCUAUGAAUCAGCUACGUAAGUUCCAUGAAAGGGCUAUGUCUUCUAAGAAAAAGGAUCACGCUGACCUCCACUUUCAACAAGUUGCCUCUAAGCAUGAAGUGACCCUAAGAGAUAGGAAGAUAAGGAGGGACAAUCUUUUGAUCUAAUCUAAGAGGUAAUCUAAUUUUAAUGCAAGUGGAAGAACUGAAAAGCUGCACAGAGUAUAAAAAGAAGGACUAAGGUAGUAGAGAAAGAGGAUCUUCCCUUUGCCAGACCUGGAAGAAAGGUGAUUCAUCUCUAUGAUGGGAGAAUUUCUUGAAGCCACAAAGUGAUGAGAAAUUGAUGUUCAUAAUAUUAGUUGCCAAGAAAAGACAGGUCACCAUUCUCUAAAUUCUGGACUUUCUUCUUAGGCUGUAAGCCCUUGCAUUAGUUUUGAUCAUAACUUACUUCAUGGACCAUCUUCAUUUAAAAGUAUGUAGAACCAAAAGUAUAUAAUAUUUAUUUUAAAGGCUAUAGUAUCUCUAGUACUGUAAUUCAUCACCUUUUUUUCUCUGUCCCCAAAUAUCUGAAAGAUAUGACAUGCUCUGAUUAGUAUCAGUGACUCUCUAUGGCAGGAUAUUUUUUAUCAGAGCAGGGGAAAGAUGUGUAAUUCUAACACACUCAGUCCCAAUUAUUAUGAUUAGCCCUCUUCUCACCUCUAGACUGAGAUCCACUAAAAUAUCAAUGCAUUUAUGUCCUAUAAUAGCUACUUUAGAUAUACUUAGACAUUAUUUCUAAAACUUUCAUGCUUAGAAGGAUGUUUCACUUUUCAACAAAACUGGUACGAAUACAACCUAAUUUACAAAACAGAUAAGGCAGUAGGAGUUUUUGCAUUAUAAAAGAAAACUUCAAAGGAUUUCUCUAAGCAAUGAGUUGCCCUAAAACAUUUACAUGAUGAUUCAAGCUUUUUUUCAAAAAAAGGAUUUAUACAUAGCACCUUAUGAGGGCAUCUAUUAUAAUGUUAAGUGUAUCUGAACUAGUAAAACAAUUAUUUGUUCUAACUGAGGUUAUUACCAUUUUAUUAUUCAGGCCAGCAGCGCUAUCCCAAUCACCUGUGGAGCUAAAGUGACUGAGGUAGUCAUAUUAUAUUGAAUGUUAAUAUUUUAUUUUCCAAAAAGUAUAAUGAGUCUGCUUAAAUAAGAAUCCAUCAAAUUGAAAAUUAUUAUUUUUGCUACCAUAAAUAAUUCUGGAGUGGCAGUGGAUCAAUCAACACUAUAUCUGCUGUU
rnacentral:lncRNA from 1 species